rnacentral:rRNA from 1 species
CGAGGAAUUUNGUCNANGGACGGAAGUUUAACCAGCCAUGCCGCGUGAAGGAUUAAGGCGUUUUGCGUUGUAAACUUUUUUUAUCAGGGAAGAANCCGUUUAUUUUAUGAACGUUGACGGUACCUGAUGAAUAAGCACCGGCUAACUCCGUGCCAGCAGCCGCGGUAAUACGGAGGGUGCAAGCGUUAUCCGGAUUUACUGGGUUUAAAGGGUGUGUAGGCGGCUUUAUAAGUCAGGGGUGAAAUCUCCGGGCUCAACCCGGAAACUGCCUUUGAUACUAUAGAGCUUGAAUUAUGUUGAGGUUGGCGGAAUAUAACAUGUAGCGGUGAAAUGCAUAGAUAUGUUAUAGAACACCGAUUGCGAAGGCAGCUGACUAAGCAUAUAUUGACGCUGAGGCACGAAAGCGUGGGUAGCGAACAGGAUUAGAUACCCUGGUAGUCCACGCCCUAAACGAUGAUUACUCGUCAUACGUGAUAUACAAUGUGUGACUAAGCGAAAGCGUUAAGUAAUCCACCUGGGAAGUACGUCCGCAAGGAUG